AUUGAACGCUGGCGGCAGGCCUAACACAUGCAAGUCGAGCGGAUGAGGGAAGCUUGCUUCCCGAUUUAGCGGCGGACGGGUGAGUAAUGCCUAGGAAUCUGCCUAUUAUUGGGGGAUAACGUUCCGAAAGGAACGCUAAUACCGCAUACGUCCUACGGGAGAAAGUGGGGGAGCUUCGGACCUCACGCUAAUAGAUGAGCCUAGGUCUGAUUAGCUAGUUGGUGAGGUAACGGCUCACCAAGGCGACGAUCCGUAGCUGGUCUGAGAGGAUGAUCAGCCACACUGGAACUGAGACACGGUCCAGACUCCUACGGGAGGCAGCAGUGGGGAAUAUUGGACAAUGGGCGAAAGCCUGAUCCAGCCAUGCCGCGUGUGUGAAGAAGGUCUUCGGAUUGUAAAGCACUUUAAGUUGGGAGGAAGGGUUGUAAGCUAAUAUCUUGCAGCUUUGACGUUACCAACAGAAUAAGCACCGGCUAACUCUGUGCCAGCCGCCGCAGUAAUAC
rnacentral:rRNA from 1 species